GGUAUAGCUCAGUGGUAGAGCCCAUGCUUAACUGAAUAGGACCUGGGUUCAAGCCCCAGUACC
rnacentral:tRNA from 1 species